AGGGGUAGGGGGUGCUUGCACCCCUGAGACCGGCGCACGGGUGCGGAACGCGUAUGGAACCUGCCCCUGUCAGGGGAAUAGCCCAGGGAAACUUGGAUUAAUGCCCCAUGGUAUCGGAGCAUCGCAUGAUGUUCCGAUUAAAGAUUUAUCGGACAGGGAUGGCCAUGCGUACCAUUAGCUUGAUGGUGGGGUAACGGCCCACCAUGGCGACGAUGGUUAGGGGCCCUGAGAGGGGGAUCCCCCACACUGGUACUGAGACACGGACCAGACUCCUACGGGAGGCAGCAGUGAGGAAUAUUGGACAAUGGUCGGAAGACUGAUCCAGCCAUGCCGCGUGCAGGAUGACGGCCCUAUGGGUUGUAAACUGCUUUUAUACGGGAAGAAACGCACCUACGUGUAGGUGUCUGACGGUACCGUAAGAAUAAGGACCGGCUAACUCCGUGCCAGCAGCCGCGGUAAUACGGAGGGUCCGAGCGUUAUCCGGAAUCAUUGGGUUUAAAGGGUCCGUAGGCGGGCCUGUAAGUCAGGGGUGAAAGUUUGUGGCUCAACCAUAAAAUUGCCUUUGAUACUGCAGGUCUUGAGUCAUGGUGGGGUUGCCGGAACAUGUGGUGUAGCGGUGAAAUGCAUAGAUAUCACAUAGAACACCGAUCGCGAAGGCAGGUGACCAACCAUGUACUGACGCUGAUGGACGAAAGCGUGGGUAGCGAACGGGAUUAGAUACCCCGGUAGUCCACGCCGUAACGAUGGAUACUAGCUGUGGGGGCGCAAGCCUCCGUGGCCAAGCGAAAGUGAUAAGUAUC
rnacentral:rRNA from 1 species